GACCACCAUCCCCUUACUAGUCUUGGUCUUGAUUCUUGAUUCUUGAAGCUUCCUUCCUCGGCCGAUUCCUCCCCUCCCCUCCUCUCCCCUGACCUCAUGUGUUAAUUGCUCCUGCUCCGCUCCGCUCCGAGAUUCAUUCAUUCAUUCAAGGUGUUAGUUGCUCCUGCUCCAUCCUUUGGAGAUCCAUCCAGAUCCCUCCCCCUCCCCCUCCCAUCCCAUCCGAUUGGAUAGGAAUAGGAUCGGAUUUGGAUUUGGAUUGGCUGCAGCAACUAGUUACUUAGUUAGUUGAUUGAUUGGUUAGUUGGUUCAAGGAGAGGGCAGCAGGAGAUGCAUUCCCAUUCCUAUUCCGACCCCGAUCCGCAGCAACAACAAGAUUCUACUUGUACUUGUAAUGGAGGAGGAGCAGGAGCAGGAGCAGGAGCUGCUGCUGCUACCUGUACAAAAAAGGAGGAGGAGCAACAAGGCCAAGAUUUGGGCUUACUGGAUUUGGAUCUGGAUUUGAAUGCCCCCCUCCUCCUCCUCCCCAUCCCCAUCCUUCAUCUCAAACAACAAGAAGAAGAAGAUGAAGAUGAUGAGCCGACCAGAGGAAGAGGAAGAGGAAGAGGAAGAGGAAGAAGAAGAGGAGGAAAAGUGGUUCGCUUCAACGACUGCAGCCUCACCCAGGUCCUCGAGUUCCAGCCUAGCAAUACCAAGGAGGACGCCAUUUCCUUGUGUGCCCGACUUUGCACUUGGCUAUGUGGACCAACCCCAACCACAACAACAGCAAACUGAUGAUGAUGAUGAUGAUGAUGAUGAUGAUGAUGAUGAUGAUACAUAACAAUAACAUACCAGUACUUACAUAGCUGCUGCUGCUGCUUGUUUAAUGGGUGCAUGUACUUUUUUUGCUCCAGUUUUGGUGGUCAGUCUAGUAGUAACUCCAAUCUCAUGACUUGAGUUCAGUCAAAAUCAAUUUCCAGUUUGCUUCAGCUAUGUAUGUUAUCAAGUUUAGGUGUUUUUCUCUUGUACAUGCAAAUGCAAAUGCUCAACGGGCAUGCAUUACUUACCAUUUUUCAGACUCGUUUCUUCAGGAAAAAAACAAAAAUAUGCUGCAAUUUUAUCCAUCAUCACUUCCUAUCCAUCACCACCUCUAUGGCUCUGGCCCGGCUCGGCGCUCUGUUGAGUUUUGUCACCGGGCUGAUGGUUACCUCCUAAAUGUGCACCUCUACCUGUCCCUCCUCCGCGCCAUCUUUGACCUCAGGGCAGGGGAGAUGAGACUGUUGUGCUGGACGAGCUGCUGGAGCUGAUGAACAAGACGUGGAGCACGCUGGGGCUCAACAGGAUGCUCCACAAUAUCUGCUUCACCUGGGUCCUCUUCGAGAGGUACGUCACCACCGGCACCGGGCAGGUCGAGCCGGACCUGCUGUCCGCUACCUUGAUGAUGCUCCAGCAUGUUUCCCAAGAUGCCAGGAAAGCCCAACAGGAGCCAGGGUAUAGCAGAGUCUUGUCCGCAACACUGGCCUCUGUCUACUCUUGGGCAGAAAACAAGCUGCUGUUGGAUUACCACGAGGCAUUUGACAAGAGCUCAAUGAAGAAUGCAGCGACACUCGCCGUCUUGGCAGCAGAGUUGCUGGGCCAACACGCUCCAGCUGCUGCUGCUGCUGCUCAUCUAAUUGAGCGCUAGCUAUAUCAAAUCGUCGGUGAGACGUGCAUUCGCCAAGUGGCAGCCGUUGCCGCUGUCACUCUCCACAGCUGCUUCGGCGUUUAUCUCAAGCAGCACGUGUCCAAGAUCAAGAUGGCCGGCUGCCUCAGCAGCGAGUCUAUGCGUGUCCUGCAGGCGGCCUCCGAGCUGGACAAGUAGAUGGCGGCACAUGAUGAUGAUGAUGAUGAUGAUGAUGGUGAUGAGGACGGCAAGCACAUGAUUCCUUAAUUAUGAUGUCGACUCCAUUAUGGUUGGCCUUGUCACUGAGUGGAUGGACGAUCGGCUACGGGUCGGGGCGGAGUGUGUUAGAAGAGCAACAAGGGAUUCUGAGACUUGGGACAAGCCCAGUUCCAGUUCAAAAAGGUGCGAGCCUUUUGCACAAUCUGCUGCGCGCGGAUCUCAUGAAACUUGCCAAGGCGACGUACGGUGGAUGAGCUCAUGGAGAUCCAUCAACAACGGCCGAUGCCAGAGCUGGUUCAGCAUCGAUCGAUCUCCUUGUGCAGCGGUACGCAUUGUUGGUUGGUUGGUUGCUUGCUUGGUCAUGCGGUGGGAGCAAGGAGAGUUACAUCCCUCCGAUGCCGCCCUUGACAAGAUGCAACCAGGACUCGAGCUCGAGGCUCCUGCACCAGCUGCUGCUCAACCUCAACUGUGAAGCUGCUGCUCUUGUUACUGCAACUGCAACGAGACGGGAGGGAACGGGUGGUGCGGCCGACCACGAGCAGUGCCACGCAACGCCUCUACGUCCGUCUCAACACCCUCCACUACCUGCUGUCCGUCCUGCACUCUAUCGACAGGUCCAUCGCCCUGCAGCGGCACGUCGUCAGCCAUCGUCGUGCCCGGAGCUCCUCUACCCAGCACCAGCAGUGGAUGCCGCACUUGCCCACGUGACGGAGCUCUCUGCCUACCGCCUUGUCUUCCUUGACUAUGCUCCCUACUUCCAUUCCAUCAGGCGCUCUACCAGGGGGGCGUUGCAUCAGGCCCAUGCUGCCUGCGUAUCAUGAAGCAGAACCUAGCGUUCCUCGGCAGCGUUGUCGGUGAGCGGCCGCAGCCGCUGGCGGUGCGUGAGGUGAUAAAGGCCUUCCUGGUGGUGCUCCUUGCUGGCGGCAGCGGGCGGGCAUUCAGCCGCGAAGACCACGGCGCGGUGGCGGAGGACUUUGCGGGCCUGAAGCGUAUGUUCUGCAGCUGCAGCGGGGAUGGGUUGGUGACGGAGGAGGUGGUGGAGACGGAGACCGCCGCAGCACAGGGGGUUGUGGACCUCAUGGCAUCGCCUACGGGGAAGCUCAUCGAGGAGUUUUGCCGUUUGUCAGGCGGCACGAGAGGAAUGCCGCCGGGAGUUUUGCCGUUUGUCAGGCGGCACGAGAGGAAUGCCGCCGGGCACGAUGACGACAACGAUAACGAUGAGACGGUGGAGUCGGUCGGACGCCUGCACUAUGCUGCGUGUGCUGUGCCACCGAUCGAGACGACGAGGCAGCCAGCAGAUCCUUGAACAAGACAUUUGAGCUGCCAAAGAGAAGGUAGGCAUGGCAUGGCAUCAUUGGCAUCAGACAGACGAAUGUACUGUAUGUAUGUAUGUUUGUAGUGGAGGCCAUGUGUAUGUCUGUCUGUCUGUAUGUAUAUCCAUCAACACGAAAGAAAUUUUGCAACUAAUUAGGUGCUUGCAUUUCCUUUAACUUUUAACUUUUACCCUUAAGAAGUAGCAACUAUAUAGUGAGCCUGUCUUUUUUCUUCUUCUUUUUCUUCAUUCACUGGAAGUAGAAGGUUGGUUGAAGAGGAGGAUAUAUUUAUUUGUUUGUUUUUGUA